rnacentral:rRNA from 1 species
AUUGAACGCUGGCGGCAGGCCUAACACAUGCAAGUCGAACGAGUGGCGGACGGGUGAGUAAUGUCUGGGAAACUGCCUGAUGGAGGGGGAUAACUACUGGAAACGGUAGCUAAUACCGCAUACCAUCAGAUGUGCCCAGAUGGGAUUAGCUAGUAGGUGAGGGAACGGCUCACCUAGGCGACGAUCCCUAGCUGGUCUGAGAGGAUGACCAGCCACACUGGAACUGCGACACGGUCCCGACUCCUACGGGCGGCCGCAGUGGGGAGUAUUGCACAAUGGGCACAAGCCUGCUGCAUACAUGCCGCGUGUGUGUAGCAGGCCUUCAGGUUGUAAAGCUCUUUCGGCGGGGAGGCGUUACCCGCAGAAGAAGCACCGGCUAACUCCGUGCCAGCAGCCGCGGUAGUAC